AUGGCUUGGCUCAACUGGGAAAAAAUGAUGUUACCCAAGGCUAUGGGUGGUAUGGGGUUUAGAGAUAUGAGGGCGUUCAACCAGGCGUUGUUGGCUAAGCACGCCUGACGUCUAUUGGACACCCCGAACAGCUUAUGUGCUCGUAUACUCCGGGCAAAAUAUUACCCUAAUGGCAACCUACUGGACAUGGUCCGAGCACUCGUCGGCGGUUGAAAAUGAAUUGUUUAUGGAUUGGAUCUUCUGAAGAAAGGUGUUAUUUGGCGCGUUGGAGAUGGUUAUCUAAUUAAAACAUGGCGGGACCCAUGGAUCCCAUGGGGUCAUGAUUACAGGCCUGUCACACAGAAGAAAAAUUCUAGACUCAAUUGGGUUGCCGAUUUUAUUGAUGAACAUGAAGCAUGGAAUGUUCAGAGGCUUCAGGAACAUUUUUGGGACUUGGAUGUUCGUGAGAUAACUAAAAUUCGAACCUCUCCUAGGAAUGGACAGGGUUUUAUUGUUUGAUCUCGGAAGAAGAGUGGAUAGUUUACUGUCAGGAAUCCUUUGGCAACUGAUGAGAAGAACCAUGUCGUGGUGACAGGUGCGGCGAGUAUUAAUCCAUCCGAGAAUCGACCUAUCUGGCAGUGUAUAUGGGGUGCCCAGGCCCCCCUUAAAAUGAGAAUAAUGGCAUGGAAAGUGGUUUUACACCGUCAACAAACUUGUGCAAAAAGUGUAGACAUAUUUCAAAGAAGGAUACAUGUCCUUUCUGCGGCAAGGAAGAAGAAAGUAGCUUUCACGCAUUGGUAA
rnacentral:rRNA from 1 species